rnacentral:rRNA from 1 species
UACGUAGGUGACAAGCGUUGUCCGGAUUUACUGGGCGUAAAGAGCGCGCAGGCGGUCGAUCAAGUCGAGGUUGAAAGCCCCCGGCUCAACUGGGGAGGGUCAUUCGAUACUGAUCGACUCGAAGGCAGGAGAGGGUAGUGGAAUUCCCGGUGUAGUGGUGAAAUGCGUAGAUAUCGGGAGGAACACCAGUGGCGAAGGCGACUACCUGGCCUGUUCUUGACGCUGAGGCGCGAAAGCUAGGGGAGCAAACGGG